rnacentral:rRNA from 1 species
CCCUUAGAUGUUCUGGGCCGCACGCGUGCUACACUGGUGAAUACAGCGAGUGUCCAUUCCCUUGACCGAAAGGUCUGGGUAAUCUUAUGAAAGUUCAUCGUGACAGGGAUUGAUCAUUGCAAUUAUUGAUCAUGAACGAGGAAUUCCUAGUAAACGCAAGUCAUCAGCUUGCAUUGAUUACGUCCCUGCCCUUUGUACACACCGCCCGUCGCACCUACCGAUUGAAUGGUCCGGUGAAAUCUCCGGACUGGCGUGAGUCGGAGCAAUCUGACAAACACCGGAAAGUUGAUUAAACCUUACCAUUUAGAGGAAGGUGAAGUCGUAACA